AGAGCGAACGCUGGCGGCAGGCUUAACACAUGCAAGUCGAGCGGGCGUAGCAAUACGUCAGCGGCAGACGGGUGAGUAACGCGUGGGAACAUACCUUUUGGUUCGGAACAACACAGGGAAACUUGUGCUAAUACCGGAUAAGCCCUUACGGGGAAAGAUUUAUCGCCGAAAGAUUGGCCCGCGUCUGAUUAGCUAGUUGGUGAGGUAACGGCUCACCAAGGCGACGAUCAGUAGCUGGUCUGAGAGGAUGAUCAGCCACAUUGGGACUGAGACACGGCCCAAACUCCUACGGGAGGCAGCAGUGGGAAUAUUGGACAAUGGGCGCAAGCCUGAUCCAGCCAUGCCGCGUGAGUGAUGAAGGCCCUAGGGUUGUAAAGCUCUUUUGUGCGGGAAGAUAAUGACGGUACCGCAAGAAUAAGCCCGGCUAACUCGUGCCAGCAGCCGC
rnacentral:rRNA from 1 species